rnacentral:misc_RNA from 1 species
GAUGAAGAACGUAGCGAAAUGCGAUAAGUAAUGUGAAUUGCAGAAUUCAGUGAAUCAUCGAAUCUUUGAACGCACCUUGCGCCCUUUGGCCAUUCCGAAGGGCAUGCCUGUUUGAGUAUCAUGAACACCUCAACUCUUUAUGGUUUUCCAUGAUGAGCUUGGACUCUGGGGGUUUUGCUGGCUCACAGUCGGCUCCUCUAAAAUGAAUCAGCUUACCAGUGUUUGGUGGGUAUCAUGGGUGUGAUAACUAUCUACGCUUGUGGUUUUUCCACCAGGUAACCUUCAGCAGUGGAGGUUCGCUGGAGCUCAUAGAUGUCUCUCCUCAGCGAGGACAGCUUUUUGAACGUUUGAUCUCAAAUCAGGUAGGACUACCCGCUGAACUUAAGCAUAUCAAUAAGCGGAGGA